rnacentral:tRNA from 1 species
GGUGGCUCAGUGGUAGAGUGCUUGCCUUGCAUGCAUGAGACCCUGGGUUCAAUUCCCCAGCACCU